AUUAGACUUUAAUGCCACGAGUCGCAUUCCAAGGUCUAACUCGUCCAACUUGGAUGUCCCCGCCUCUCCGUCACUGCCUCGUCUCAUCCGCUCGUUCUGUGGACAUGCCGUCUGCUGCCAUGAAGGCUCCUCUCGUCCUGCUGCUGGUCCUCGCUCUGGCUGGCCACAUUAGGCUGCAAACAUACACCGGCCACUUCAAUAGGUACACAUGCACUAUCUGAUGAUGUCUAAGAAGAGGCGACGCCCUCAGAUGCCACACGUGCGCGGCAUCCAGCGAGGAUGACUGCAACAAGCAGGGCUCCGCCUCCUGCCCGCAGUACGCCGAUGCCUGCGCCACCAUCACUGGACCCAAUACCGUGCUCAAGUCGUGCACCUACAAGGCUUUCUGCGACAAAGCUCACGGGAGCAACUCUGCGGCCAAGAUGGAGUGUUGCUACGGCGACAACUGUAACGGUCCGUACAGGAGCCACAGUCAAGGAGACCCGCACCACAACGGCACGCCAGCGCUGUCCCGCAGCCGUGUCGUCCUGCUGCUCAGUGCCGUGCUCCUGCGUCUCGCGGCCUUUAGCCACAUGUAAACACUCCUCCGCCACGAUUAUGUGUAUUGUAUUCACCCAAACCUCUUAUUACACGAUGCAUCCCUUCACCCACCCUGCAGCUGUUUCUGCUGUGCCCCACUGAGAUUUAUUUUUUCUUAACCACCUCUUGAAUGUUAGGAUGAGUCGUUGCAUAUCUGUGUUUUGGCAUUUGAAUAGUGUGGUCUAUAAAACGAUGUUAUUUUUAAUGACAGCCUCCCAAAUCUAGUUCUGUUGUUACCUCUACAUGGUUGUUUCCAUCCACCUUUGUUGGUUUCUUUCUUCACCAACAUGGUGCCCAUGGGCAUCAGGUGGCCCCAAAGACCACAUGAGUACAGAACCAACUAGUGAUGGCACAUUCCAAUUUCCUCAGAAUUUUGUAGAAGUGAUGAUUUGAAAAUGUAAACAAUUGCAGAGAUUUAUAGAAAUAAAGUGUUGCAUAUUGAUAUUUA